UACGAACCGUACAAACGUUAUUCGGAAUCACUGGGCUUAAAGGGUUCGUAGGCGGCCUUGUAAGUGAGGUGUGAAAUCCCUCGGCUCAACCGAGGAACUGCGCUUCAUACUGCAUGGCUUGAGGGAGACAGGGGUAAGCGGAACUGAUGGUGGAGCGGUGAAAUGCGUUGAUAUCAUCAGGAACACCGGUGGCGAAAGCGGCUUACUGGGUCUCUUCUGACGCUGAGGUACGAAAGCUAGGGUAGCGAACGGG
rnacentral:rRNA from 1 species